CGUGUAGGUGGGGAAGCAAGUCCGGUGGGAAAGCCCGCGGCUCAACCGCGGAAGUUCGCUGGAAACUGCUACUCUUGAGGGUGAUAGAGGGAAGUGGAAUUGCUGGUGUAGCGGUGAAAUGCGUAGAUAUCAGCAGGAACACCCGUGGCGAAGGCGGCUUCCUGGAUCACCCCUGACGCUGAGACGCGAAAGCGUGGGAGCAACG
rnacentral:rRNA from 1 species